rnacentral:lncRNA from 1 species
CAAAUUCAAUAUAAACAGCCGAAGCAACAAAAACCAAAAAAAAAAUUGUUCGAGAACAAAAAACUUUAGUUUUCUUGUUUUUGUUUUAAUCUACACAAAGCGGCAACAGCAACAACAACAUGCACAUCAAUUUCGGCGAAUUAUGCCGACAACAAGAACAACAGCAGCAGUAACAACAACAGUCCACAUUGUAGCACGAAUGUCGUGUGGGGGGAGAAAAUAAUAGUAUAAGAAAUAUAGCAACAAAAAAAAACGCAAAUACAAAAAUGUGAAAGAUAAAAAGCAAACAAAACAACGACGUCAUCGCAGUAUUGCCAACAUGAAUAGAUUUGUUUUAUGAAAAAUGUUCGCUAAUAAAUGGGUGCUUAUGGGUUGGAUUAAUGUUUAUUACUUAAUUUCUAGGUACAUUUUAUGAAUCAUAAAUGGAAUUGUUUUAGAUAAGAGUGGAGAUAGAUUUUAGAUAAGAGUUGAUAUAAUAGUUAAAUUGAAAAUUGUUAGUUUUUUAAAUUUUUAAACGAAUCUUUGGGGAAAAUGGCAAAAGUUGUUUUUAUUUUAAAAAAAGGCUUAUUAUUUGGACUAUUGUCUAGACUAGUGUCUGAUUUAUAGUCCAGUUUAAAUUUAGACUUGAUCUGGUUUAUAUUUUAGAUUAAUGAAUCGUUGAGACUAUAUUCUGAGUAUAUACUAAAGUAACGACUGCAGAAGGUAUUAUAGUCUAGACUAGAAUCUGAUUUAUAAUCUAGAAUAUAGUCUGGUCUAUUGUCUAGAAUAUAGUAUAAUCUAUGUUGUGUAUAGAUUAGACUUGUGUUUAACCUGCAGUCUAGUAGUGUGUUUACUAAAGUCCAUACUUUUAAAAACAGAUUCUGGAAUGUACUCUCUAAUAGAGACUGGUAUGGAGGCCACACUUGAUUAUAUUUUAUAGUGUAGGCAAGUAUCUGUUCUAUAAACUACAUCAGAGUCUCUUCUAUAAUUUAGAAUGUAGUCUGGUAUGUAGUCUAUAUGAGAACCUUUUCUGUAAUAUUGUCUAUCAUAGAGUAUAUUUUAUACACAAUACAGAGCCUUUUCUGAAGUUUUCAGAAGUCUUUUCUGUAACCUAUACCUGAGUCCUUAGUAUACACUAAAGUCUGGCCUUAAGGCUACAAUAGAGUAAUGUAGAUAGUCUGAUCUAUAGUGUUUAUAGUUUAGACUACAGAGUACUGUAAUAUGGUUUUGUCGUCUACACAAAAAUGUAGUUGAGUCUGCAGUAUAGUGUUCUAGACUAGAGUCUAGUCUAUAGUUUGAAUACAAGUCUGUUCUAAAGUUUAUCAAAAAGUAGGGUCUGUAUUUAGUACUAAUACCUAGCCCACAGUUAAGACUUGAGUCUUGUCCAUGAUUUAGACCAGAGUAUGUUCCAUAGUCAGGACAACAGGUUAGUCUUGAAAAUGAUUUCGUAUAGAAUUCUGAUCGUGAAAGUGGUAAUAAAAACAAAUUAUUAGAUUCCAUAAAUAAAUAAAAAAUCAUCUUAUGUUUUCUUAAAACGUAGGGACAUCUGCUAACAUGCUGAUAAUCAUUACAGUAAUUUUAAGGAUUUAAGUAUAUCCAACAACUAAUUGAUAAAAUAAAAUAUAAAGUUCCCAAUCUGAAAAUUCCAAUUGAGGUAGGUACUGGGUUUUAAGCUCUUAGUAAUGGGUAGACCUUUUAAAACAUUUAAAUAUUCAUUCUGGCAAUACUUAACUGUCAAGUACACACACAGAUACCCAAAAUCCCAUGUCACAUGCUUGCUCUUUACUCUGAAUUUUGUAUGAACCACAGUCAGCCACCAGCCAGACUCACUCACUCUGUUCGCAUAUAUUCAGACAUCACAGCAGUAGCAGCUAACAAGCAAGAUGCCGAUUAUUUCAUACUCAUACACAACUAGUAGUAGUAUUAGUAGUACAUACAACACGUAACUUAGCUGGUGGUAGUCGUGUCCGUCAGUCAGUCAUACGAUUAAUUCAAAACGGUGAAUUCUCGCUAUUUUUAUUUAUUUCAUUCUUUCUUCAUCAUUUAAUAAAAUUUCGUACAUAUAGUUAAAAUUUAAUAAGAAAAAAAUAUAUUUAAUUUUGUGUAUUUUUGUCGUUCCCUUGUCAUACUUUUAGUGCGUUAUUUGUUGGUGGUGGUUUGCCAUAAAUAUUUUUAUAAGCAAAAGUUAUAAAUAAUAAAAAGAGUG